UACGUAGGGUGCGAGCGUUAAUCGGAAUUACUGGGCGUAAAGCGUGCGCAGGCGGUUUUGUAAGCCAGAUGUGAAAUCCCCGGGCUUAACCUGGGAAUGGCAUUUGGGACUGCAAGGCUGGAGUGCGGCAGAGGAGACUGGAAUUCCUGGUGUAGCAGUGAAAUGCGUAGGUAUCAGGAGGAAUACCGAUGGCGAAGGCAGGUCUCUGGGCUGACACUGACGCUCAUGCACGAAAGCGUGGGGAGCAAACAGG
rnacentral:rRNA from 1 species